rnacentral:misc_RNA from 1 species
AACGCACCUUGCGCCCUUUGGUAUUCCAGAGGGCAUGCCUGUUUGAGUGUCUUGAAAACUCAUCCUAAUCGGGUCUUCCUGUAUUAGUGAUGGAUUGGGUGUUGCCGUUUGGCUCGCCUUAAAAACAUAAGGAUUGUCCGAUGUAAUACGUUUCAUCUACGACUCUCCUGAUAAAACCCAUCUUUCAUUCUGACCUCAAAUCAGGUAGGGCUACCCGCUGAACUUAA